rnacentral:rRNA from 1 species
UACGGAGGGAGCUAGCGUUGUUCGGAAUUACUGGGCGUAAAGCGCACGUAGGCGGCUUUGUAAGUUAGAGGUGAAAGCCCGGGGCUCAACCCCGGAAUUGCCUUUAAGACUGCAUCGCUUGAAUCCAGGAGAGGUGAGUGGAAUUCCGAGUGUAGAGGUGAAAUUCGUAGAUAUUCGGAAGAACACCAGUGGCGAAGGCGGCUCACUGGACUGGUAUUGACGCUGAGGUGCGAAAGCGUGGGGAGAAAACAGG